AGGAAACAACUGCUCUUUGUCAGAAAGACUCAAGAACAGCUCCCAGUAAAGUUCUACAUCACAAAUGAAUUGGAACAGUAGCUGGGCUAGGCUCUAGCUAUGGGUCAUGAAUGAUGGCUGAAAUAUUUCAUUGCCUUGUGCAUUUUUUUUUGUGAAACCCCUCAUGUACCAGUGUCUUCUGUGUGUCUUAGAUUUCAGAGUUAUUAAAGGGUUUAGCUGAGAGGAAAACAUCACCCAAUGAGAGCAUUCAUGCUAACAUCAGCCUCUCCAUCACAGAGCCAGGAACUUCUUACAACCAUGGGAACUUCAGAUCUAGAGCUGUCCUCCCUAAAAAACUCUGUCAGCUGUCCACGUGUCAGUAUGAGAGGCAAGAUCAUCUGAGAGAAAGCUUCAGUGCUCCGGUACUCGUUCUUGCCUGCAUCCCUGCAUCUCAGGCGGGACAAAAGCAACCCACGUUAUCAUUCCCAGAUCCAGUCCUCUUUGCACACCUGGUGGAAAAAUCAGAGAUCUUUGCCUCUGACUCAGAACAGCUUGAAAAGCAAGAGAUAUAUCCGUACAUCCUAGGAGUGCAGGCUUGGAGGAAACGGGAGCAACGUGAACCACAAUGUCUGCUGCCUAAACAGUUUCCCCAAACUGGGACAACCAACAAAUGGUUCUUCAAGGAUUUACUGGACCUCCAGAGGAAGCUGUUUUUGGGUGCCUCAAAGAAAUCUGGAGCCCUGAGGAAAUCUCAGACACCUUGGAAAACUUCACACCACCAGUCAGAAUGUUCUUCUUUAAUGCUUAGGAAAGUUCAAGACUGACAGAAGAAAUAAACUGCAAAUGAAACUAGCACUAACACUCAGUGGCAGAGUGGUCAUUGAGGCAAGAAAUGUAUAAUUACGUGUCAGAAUGGUACCAUGUUCCAUAAAGCAUUCUGAGACUUGAAAAGCAUAGUCCUAAUAAUAUGAAAUAUCCACUAAAAUCAUUAUUAGAUAUGCAGGGAAUAAAGUUAGAUAUUUUUUUCACCCAAAAAGUAAAAAUAAAAUAUGCAGAUUUAUAAAGACAUCUCAGCACAAACAUGUUUCUUAUUGUUU
ensembl:lncRNA